GAUGAACGCUGGCGGCGUGCCUAAUACAUGCAAGUCGAGCGAACAGACGAGGAGCUUGCUCCUCUGACGUUAGCGGCGGACGGGUGAGUAACACGUGGAUAACCUACCUAUAAGACUGGGAUAACUUCGGGAAACCGGAGCUAAUACCGGAUAAUAUAUUGAACCGCAUGGUUCAAUAGUUAAAGACGGUUUUGCUGUCACUUAUAGAUGGAUCCGCGCCGCAUUAGCUAGUUGGUAAGGUAACGGCUUACCAAGGCAACGAUGCGUAGCCGACCUGAGAGGGUGAUCGGCCACACUGGAACUGAGACGCGGUCCACACUCCUACGGGAGGCAGCAGUAGGGAAUCUUCCGCGAUGGGCGAAAGCUUGACGGAGCAAAGCCGCGUGAGUGAUGAAGGUCUUCGGAUCGUAAAACUCUGUUAUUAGGGAAGAACAAAUGUGUAAGUAACUAUGCACGUCUUGACGGUACCUAAUCAGAAAGCCACGGCUAACUACGUG
rnacentral:rRNA from 1 species